CGGAGAGGCCGCCCAGAGACAGUUGUGCUGAUGAAGUGGUAGAGCUGGUUCCUGCUCGCCGCCGUGCCGCGCGCGCCGGCCAGCCACUGGGCGCUCGGCGCUCCCAGCCUCGAGUUGUGCAAUCCUUUGUAGCACGCCAGCGAGUCCUCCUCCUUCGCUGUUGCCUCUCGCCCUCUCUCUCUCUCCUUUUUUUUUUUUCUUCAAGCUGUGAGCUCAACCGAUGAGUCAGAGUCGUGCAAUCCUGACACUGCAUCGCAGGACUGGGGGUGACACGCAGGGAGGGAGAGCGCUCUCCAGGCGGACUGUAAGGGCGCGAGGCGCGCCGACGCUGCCGUGUCUCGAGCAGUGGGUGACAGCACGCACGUCCCGCCCGGGCCCUGCCAGCAAACUUCCCCGCUUCGGGAGGCGCGGGCUUGGCGAAAGCCCCGCUAACGCCGCGGGGAGGCGACGGCGCCUGUUUGUUUUUAAAAUCCGGGAGUGCGUGCAGGCGGCUGGGCUCCUCGGAGGCGACCCAAGGCGGUGGCGGCGGCGGCGGCCCGCGGCGGAAGGAAGGGAGACUGCUGGGGCCGGAGGCCGAGCGGGAGCUGGUUUCAAAAAAAGGCAUCUAAAGAAGAGGUCAAGCCUGAGACUUAAGAAGAAAAUUUGCAGAA
rnacentral:lncRNA from 1 species